rnacentral:lncRNA from 1 species
AUCUUUGAGACAAGCAUAUGACUACUGGCAGGAUCAACCAGGUAACUAUCGUUAGAGGUGAGACAAAAAGCAGAAAAGAAGAAGAUAAAAAAAUGUUUUUUUUUAAAACUUCUUUUUACUUUUCACACACCACUACCGUUUUUAAUUUUUUUUCUUCCCAACAAAAUCAGGAAGAAAAAAACAAAAACAAAAGUUACUCAAAGGUGAAACUGAAAAAAAAAAAAAGAGAAAAGAAAAUAAAUUCUUCCUAAAUUUUUUUUUUACAAUUUCCCAUUAUUCCUCAAUUAAAAAAUUAAUUUUAUAUGAGGUUGUCUAGAGAUGAACAACAUUUCCUAGUUCUCUUUUAAAGAACACCGGAUAUAUCGUUUCUCUGAAGACAAGGAAAUUGCCAGCUUGGUAUCAUAAUUUCCUCAGAUUUUAGCAUUCCAACAAAUAAACAUUGUUUCCAAAAUA